rnacentral:rRNA from 1 species
UACGUAGGGUGCGAGCGUUAAUCGGAAUUACUGGGCGUAAAGCGCGCGCAGGCGGUUUGUUAAGUCAGAUGUGAAAUCCCCGGGCUUAACCUGGGAACUGCAUUUGUGACUGGCAAGCUAGAGUAUGGCAGAGGGGGGUAGAAUUCCACGUGUAGCAGUGAAAUGCGUAGAGAUGUGGAGGAAUACCGAUGGCGAAGGCAGCCCCCUGGGCCAAUACUGACGCUCAUGCACGAAAGCGUGGGGAGCAAACAGG